rnacentral:lncRNA from 1 species
CUGGGUUUCCGCCUGCAUUAAUCAAGACAUAUUAAGAUUUUAAUCUGCUUCCUCUUGAACCAUACACAUGGGCUCGAUUACCGAAUAUUCAUAUGUAUUAUUAAUGUUUUUAUGCUCCAUUUAUGAACGUUAUGUUUUUCUGGUCUUUGCGUUUGUCCGUUUGUCCAGCUUCAGGUUAAAUCAACUUGAAACUUAGUCCAAAUUUUCCCUAUGGUAUGAUCUUUUUAAUUAUAAUGCCAAAUUACAGUUCUAUCCCAUUUUCACGGUCCACUAAACAUAGAAAAUGAUAGUGUAGAUGAGGCAUCCGUGUACUAGGAACACAUUCAUGUUUCUUCAAAUUUUCGUCGUAUCGCUGUCAAUUUGUAUUAAAAUUUUAACGUGACGUUAUCAAUAAAUAUUUCAUUGUUUACGAGAAAUAUGCAAUUUACUAUCAUUGUCAUGAACCCAAAAUACGGCCAAUAGUAUAAAAAAAGAAAUUUAUGAAAAAUAUUUAUAUCCGCU